UUACGACUAUACCACGUUAAAACACCGGUUUCCGUACGAUCACUGAAGUUAAGCUACCUCGUGACUGGUCAGUAUCUAGACGGUCGACCACUUGAAAAUAUCAGGUGCU